CGUGCCAGCAGCCGCGGUAAUACAUAGGUCACAAGCGUUAUCCGGAAUUAUUGGGCGUAAAGCGUUCGUAGGCGGUUUGUUAAGUCUGGAGUUAAAGACUGGGGCUCAACCCCAGCCCGCUCUGGAUACUGGCUGACUAGAGUUACAUAGAGGUAAGUGGAAUUCUUAGUGGAGCGGUGGAAUGCGUAGAUAUUAGGAAGAACACCAAUGGCGAAGGCAGCUUACUGGAUGUACACUGACGCUCAGGGACGAAAGCGUGGGGAGCAAACAGGAUUAGAUACCCUGGUAGUCCACGCCGUAAACGAUGAUCAUUAGCCGCUAGAAUAUUUAGUGGCGCAGCUAACGCAUUAAAUGAUCCGCCUGAGUAGUAUGCUCGCAAGAGUGAAACUUAAAGGAAUUGACGGGGACCCGCACAAGCGGUGGAGCAUGUGGUUUAAUUUGAAGAUACGCGUAGAACCUUACCCACUCUUGACAUCUUCCGCAAUACUAUGGAGACAUAGUGGAGGUUAACGGAAUGACAGAUGGUGCAUGGUUGUCGUCAGCUCGUGCCGUGAGGUGUUAGGUUAAGUCCUGCAACGAGCGCAACCCCUGUCUUUAGUUACUAACGGGUAAUGCCGAGGACUCUAAAGAGACUGACUGGGUAACCAGUAGGAAGGUGGGGACGACGUCAAAUCAUCAUGCCUCUUACGAGUGGGGCAACACACGUGCUACAAUGGACGGUACAAAGAGAAGCAAUAUGGUGACAUGGAGCAAACCUCAAAAAACCGUUCUCAGUUCGGAUUGAAGUCUGAAACUCGACUUCAUGAAGUUGGAAUCGCUAGUAAUCGUAGAUCAGCUACGCUACGGUGAAUACGUUCUCGGGUCUUGU
rnacentral:rRNA from 1 species